GGUGUGGCUCGACUGGUAGAGUACCUGCCUAGCAAGCAGGAGGCCCUGCGUUCAAACCCCAGUACCACCA
rnacentral:tRNA from 1 species